AAGCGGUGGAGCAUGUGGCUUAAUUCGAGGCUACGCGAAGAACCUUAUCCUGGGCUUGACAUGUGCGAAAGCGCGCGGGAGUAGGGUGCGGAAACGCUACCCCAACGGUAUCCAGUCCGGAACCGCGUACAGGUGCUGCAUGGCUGUCGUCAGCUCGUGUCGUGAGAUGUUGGGUUAAGUCCCGUAACGAGCGAAACCCUUGUCGCCAGUUGCUACCCUUCAGUGGGAGGACUCUGGCGAGACUGCCGGUGUUAAACCGGAGGAAGGCGGGGAUG
rnacentral:rRNA from 1 species